rnacentral:misc_RNA from 1 species
GAUGAAGAACGCAGCGAAAUGCGAUAAGUAAUGUGAAUUGCAGAAUUCAGUGAAUCAUCGAAUCUUUGAACGCACAUUGCGCCCCUUGGUAUUCCGAGGGGCAUGCCUGUUCGAGCGUCAUUAUAACCCCUCAAGCUCAGCUUUGUUUUGGGGCCUGCUGCACUGGCAGCCCUUAAAAUCAGUGGCGGCGCCAUCUGGCUCUAAGCGUAGUAAUUCUUCUCGCUAUGGAGUCCUGGUGGAUGCUUGCCAUCAACCCCCAAUUUUUCUAUGGUUGACCUCGGAUCAGGUAGGGAUACCCGCUGAACUUAAGCAUAUCAAUAAGCGGAGGA